CUGCUGCCUUCCGUAGGAGUUUGGGCCGUGUCUCAGUCCCAAUGUGGCCGGUCACCCUCUCAGGCCGGCUACUGAUCGUCGCCUUGGUAGGCCGUUACCCCACCAACUAGCUAAUCAGACGCGGGUCCAUCUUAUACUACCUCAGUUUUUCACACAGAACAUGCGUUCCCGUGCGCUUAUGCGGUAUUAGCAGUCAUUUCUAACUGUUAUCCCCCUGUAUAAGGCAGGUUACCCACGCGUUACUCACCCGUCCGCCGCUAAGU
rnacentral:rRNA from 1 species